UGGAAGAAUUAAAACCAAAAUUCAAGUACCU
rnacentral:piRNA from 1 species